UAGAGGAAGUAAAAGUCGUAACAAGGUCUCCGUUGGUGAACCAGCGGAGGGAUCAUUACAGAGUUAUCUAACUCCCAAACCAUUGUGAACUUACCAUUUGUUGCCUCGGCAGAACUUACCCUGAACCUACCCUGGAACGGUGUAAUGGGCUGCCGGUGGACUACUAAACUCUGUUAUACUAUUGUAAUCUGAGCGUCUUAUUUUAAUAAGUCAAAACUUUCAACAACGGAUCUCUUGGUUCUGGCAUCGAUGAAGAACGCAGCGAAAUGCGAUACGUAAUGUGAAUUGCAGAAUUCAGUGAAUCAUCGAAUCUUUGAACGCACAUUGCGCCCAUUAGUAUUCUAGUGGGCAUGCCUGUUCGAGCGUCAUUUCAACCCUUAAGCCUAGCUUAGUGUUGGGAAUCUAUCCGCAAGGAUAGUUCCUCAAAUCCAACGGCGGAUCUGUGGUAUCCUCUGAGCGUAGUAAAUCUUUAUCUCGCUUUUGUUAGGUGCCGCUGCUCUCAGCCGCUUUUCCCCCCAAUUUUUUGUGGUUGACCUCGGAUCAGGUAGGAAUACCCGCUGAACUUAAGCAUAUCAAUAAGCGGAGGA
rnacentral:rRNA from 1 species